rnacentral:ribozyme from 11 species
AUGGAUGAAUGGAAGGAAGAAAGACGAAAUGAAGGAAGGAAACAAUGAGCGAUGUGUCAUGGCUGCAUUUCCCUCCAAUUAAUUACCUGUUUUGUUGUUCUUCCUCUCCUCUUUCCCCCUCUUGAU